ensembl:lncRNA SCG5-AS1 SCG5 antisense RNA 1
AGCCUGAUGAUGUCCCACCACGAUGCAACGGCUCUCCUGGCUGGGGCUAGUGGAAGCAGUUUUGAUGGAAGUUAAGGAUUUGCAACUUAGAGGAUUUCUGGGAUAAUUCUCUUAAAGUAGUGACUUCACCAACAGGAAUUCCAGGCCCCCUGGUGUGCCAGCUCAAGGGAUAAGCAGAGUAUGUCGGGUUCCCAGGUGCCAAUGAACAGAGAAAUAGCCAAAGGGCUCGCUGAGUGGGAGCAGAGGAUUGAUUUGUUCAGAGUUUUGAAAUUACCAGGGAAGAGCUUUUGAGGAUGUUUGAGAUCCAUGAUUCAAAACAGGGAGGGACACAUGAGUGGCAGGUGACAUCAGAAGCCACCAGCCAUUCCUCAAAUUGCCAGCUCUGGAGCCCUCCAUCCUGCACUAGAAGGAGAUACUGCAAACCCUGCCAAGGUGUUCAUGCUUCUCGUGCUUUAACAUUU